rnacentral:rRNA from 1 species
AAUGAAAACAACAUAUAAAACUCUGGACAAUUUCGAAAUCAGGCCAAGCUUCUUAAUACAUAUGCAAAAAAAAUCAUUAUUGGUCCACCAUUGAUUAGAAGAUUUAGCUUGUAG